rnacentral:piRNA from 1 species
UCAAGGCUGCCACGGGAUGCUGUCAGU